UACGGAGGAUGCAAGCGUUAUCCGGAAUGAUUGGGCGUAAAGCGUCCGCAGGUGGCAGUUCAAGUCUGCUGUCAAAGACCGGGGCUUAACUUCGGAAAGGCAGUGGAAACUGAACAGCUAGAGUAUGGUAGGGGCAGAGGGAGUUCCUGGUGUAGCGGUGAAAUGCGUAGAGAUCAGGAAGAACAUCGGUGGCGAAGGCGCUCUGCUGGACCAUAACUGACACUCAGGGACGAAAGCUAGGGGAGCGAAUGGG
rnacentral:rRNA from 1 species